ensembl:lncRNA
CCUGUCAGAAUCUAUCAAACCCUGCAGACUCCUGACGCACUCGUCCCAUUGUGGGUGAAGCGAGGGAAUGAGGGAUUGUGGGUAUUAAAGAGGGUGGAGUGAAGAUGGAGGACGGGGAGAGUGCGUGAUUCAACAGAGGCAAUCCAAUCUGUGCUGUCGAGGGUGACGGAGGGGGCCUCUGUGUUGGUGACAUCACUAUCAGGGAGGAUCUGAAUGAACAGGAAAGUCAAUUAGAGUUUAACUGAGUUUACCAGCUGGAGAGAGAGAGAGAGAGAGAGAGAGAGAGAGAGAGAGAGAGAGAGAGAGAGAGAGAGAGAGGAAAAAGGGGAGGAGAGUGAAAAGAGAAGCGACAGACAGAGGAAGGGAGAGACGCAGCUACAAAACCAGGGAAUUUUGCCGGUGAGUGAAAAGUUUCUGCUGGCUCCUCGGGUUUCUCUCCUGUCCCGAUCAGACUGCUCAGGAAGACCUCAGAGCUCCAGCACACAGAGGAACGCCGGGGAUAUUUUUAAUCGAAGCUGACAACAGGGGAUGAGUGUGUGAGCACACAUGGUCAGCCUUCUAUCCAUCUGUCUGUCUGUCCGUCCAUCCGUCAUCCCUCCAUCUUCGGCCUGAGCAUGAAGUCGAGCGUCACUCUGCCCCACAACCUCCGACACACACCCUGACCGAGAGACCGAGCUGAGCCGCAGCUCUGACAAGUCCACGAGAGGAGAAGGUGUGUAACGCUGGAGCUCAAGGACAAACCAUGGACUCUGCAGACCAACCACCACACCUGGGCGUGUAAAGUCCUGGAGUAGAAGAG